GAUGAACGCUAGCGGGAGGCUUAAUACAUGCAAGUCGAGGGGUAACAGGGGGCUUCGGCCCUGCUGACGACCGGCGCACGGGUGCGUAACGCGUACACAAUCUGCCUAUUGGAGGGGGAUAGCCUUUGGAAACGAAGAUUAAUACCCCAUGGUAUCUUAAAGUCGCAUGGCUUAAAGAUUAAAGAAUUUCGCCAAUAGAUGAGUGUGCGUCCUAUUAGCUAGUUGGUAAGGUAAUGGCUUACCAAGGCUACGAUAGGUAGGGGGCGUGAGAGCGUGACCCCCCACACGGGCACUGAGACACGGGCCCG
rnacentral:rRNA from 1 species